CCCUUUUUCACUCUCCUUUAAAGGCUUCAAGCUAAAUCAGUAAAUCAAACUAAAGCUUGAAGCCUUAAAGGAGAGUGAAGAAAA
rnacentral:pre_miRNA from 1 species